rnacentral:misc_RNA from 1 species
AUUCUGCUAAUUCGUCCUGACCAGUUGUGUCUCGAUGUUUCCCUGCAAUUUUUUCCUGACCAUUUUGGUAUAUAAAGGGCUUUAACUUUUUUUAUUGAGAUUUGUAUCCAUUUGGUUGUCAUUCCCUUUUACAUGAUUGUAUCAAUUUAUUAUGGUAUCUGUGGUCUAUACAUGUAUCUGAUUAUUAUCUAUUGAUUAUUAUACAAUGUCUUGUAUCAAUUAUUAACUUUGGUUUAUCAUGUUUGGUUUAAUAUUUUUUACUGUAUAUUCCAUGAUUUUGCUUUGCAUUGUUUUAAUUGUGUUCACGAUUCAUUUAUACUGAAGUAAGCUAAGGUUGUGAUGAAUUAACUGACAAAGUACCCGUGUCUAGUCAUGAUCUGUCUCCUUGUACUCUGUCCGGUCAGUAAGUCACUGUCCGGUCAGUAGGUCACUGUCCGGUCAGUAGGUCACUGGUGUAGCUUGUUCAUCAAGUGGCUGUGACAUUUAUCUUCUAUAACAAACCUCAACCUCCAAUAAAAAUCUCAAGGAAACGAUGGAAAUUGCAUGGUGGUAGAAUGUCAAAAAAUAUCAAAGUUCAAUAACUCUUGGUCAUGUAAAAAUGAACAUUCAUUGGUAUAUUUUUUUCUACAAUAGUUUGAUCAUAGUAAUUUUCCCCCCAAAAAUGUUCUACCUCUUCUUUUUUACACUUGGUUGUGAAAACAGUGUUUUGUAGGAUUUGUUGAGAUUUGUAGAAAAAAUAAUCUUAUGUGGUAUAUUUAUAUAUAUUUCCAGCAAAUCUAUCUUUUUUGUUAAUUCAACAUUAAGACAUAAAUUAUCAAGACUAAUCACCCAUUUAAACUUUACUUUUAAAUGUAAAAAUAAUUUUCAAAAAGAAAUCCAAAAUAUAAUUAAAAUGCCCAAAAAUUCAGCAUACUGUGCAGGACAUACUUUACCAAAUCACCAAAUAUGAAGCAAUGCAUUAAUGCCAACAAGAGUCUUUAGUAGCAGUUCUUUCUGUUCCCAGAUGAUGUAAAAUGAUCUCAGUAAUAACAUGGACAGCUAAAUGCCUAACAUUCCAUUCAGCAGAUUAUGCAGAUAUUGUAAAUACUGUUCUUAUACUGACAGCAAUAAACCCAGCUUGAAUUCAUGGGUCCUUCUAACCUUGGGGAUAUUUCUUAUUUUUUUUCAUUUACAGUUCUUAAGGUUGUCAGAAAUAAGUCGGGUGUUUGUGGGAAGUUAAGUAUUUGUAAAAUACCGUCAUCUUUCAUCUGUAGAAAGUUAGAAUUAUGGGCUGUACAGGAUGUCAUGGAAACUGGGCGACCACCAUGAUGUGCCAUAGAGGACAAAUCAUCACCAUGGUGACAGUAAUUUCAUCAUGUGACAAAUGUUGGAGUGCUUUAUGAUCAAAAAAUGAAGUGCUUGUAUAUUUAUGGAAUAUGCUAUCAUUCUAUGCAAAUGUGUUGACUAUUUGUUACAAUAAAUUAUUUAAAUUU